AUGGAGCUGUACCUUAGCGCCUGCUCCAAGGCUGCCGAUGUUGCAGCCACCAAGACGGCCACCAGCGGCCUGACCACCGAAAGCCAGCAGUGCGGAGACGGUGAACACAAAACUCAAUUUUCGGGGGUCGGAGCAACUCAGCUACUGGAUCUGCCUCUUGGGGUCAAGCUGCCUGUGAUCCCGGGAAGCAAUAGUUUAUACUAUACCACGAAAUUAAAUGAGAAGCUUUUUCGACCUUCUUAUGGUUUUAACCUGACUGAUCCUUACUGUCGACUUUUGGAAAACCAAUAUAAAAGUCUCCAUGAUCCACAUUUAAGAGCCUACCAUAAGCGUAAAGACAUCUUGAGAAGAUUAAAGAAAGGUGGUUACAUCACCAGCAAUAAUAAAGUUGUAUGUACCUUGAGGGAAUUGAAUAAGUACAGGCAAUAUCUUACCAGUUUAAAAUUAGACUUUGAAAGAAACUAUAUAAGAGAACAAAAAAUGCUUGCAAAACAAGUAAAUAAACUACAGGAAGACAAUCAAAUACCUGGACGUUCUGAUGUUACACAGUUCCAAAAUUGGUUGUUACAGGAAGGCACCCCAUCUAUUAAGGACCAAGAACGAUUAAUAAGGCACAGAUAUCUGGACAUGAUAAGGAAGGAGUUAGAACAUCUUGAGCACACAGCUGAAGAGCAACGCCUGCUCCGAAUGGAUAGAGAAGAAAGACGACAGCGAGAACACGCAAGAAGAAAACUUAGUCUUCGUAGAAAAAUUGAAGAGGAAUGGAAGACAAAAGAGAUGUUACUUCUGACAAGGAUUGGAGAAGAUGUUAAAAGAGAAGCUAGGAUAGAGGAACAACGGCGUAAAAACAGAGAAGAGACUGACAAGAAGAAACAAGCUCUUCUAGAGAAAAAAAUGGCUUAUCAUUUACAAAAAAUGCAAGAAAGUGGCAAUAAAAAAGAAGAUAUGAGGAAAAAUACAAAUGAUUACGGAGAACAAGGUGGACAACAUUAUGAAUCUUUUUCUCCAAAGAAGAAAAAGAAGAAGAGUGAUGACAUAAAGGUAGUUUAUGCUGCUGCUGACCAGAAACCAAACAGAGGAGCAUAUGAACCCUGCACAAACACUCUUCAGAGAUCUCUAAGUAGUUCAAAGAAUGUUGCCAAAAAACCUGUACCUGCUGUUGUUUGUCAGCCAGAUGCACAAGGUGAUGCUGAACAAAAGAAAAAUGGAGAGACAAGUGAAAAACCAAGUGUUUUUGAUGAUAGAGGGGAGCCUUUUGUCUCAACUCAAAAUUCAAUGAUUUCACCUCAGAAUUCAGCUACAAGAAAGUUUCCCAGAUCUUCACUAAUGUAUUUGAAUCAUUCAAAAGUUGAGAAGGAGAUAAAUGUUGACUGGAAUGGAAGAUCAAAGAGAACAAGCCUGUUUUGCAACCCAGAAUUUCAGGCUUCUGCCACAACCCAGGGUAUUUUCCCUUCUUGUGUUUUCUCAAAUACACAACAGCAUAUCCUACAAAACUGCUUGCAAGAAAAAGUAACUUCGGAAGAACUGAAUAGCAUAAUUCAGAAUAUAAUGACCUGGGUUGUGGCUACAGUUACCAGUAUAUUAUACCCAGCCAUCACCAAGUAUGAAGAAAGGUUGAAAAAUAAUACAUAUCCAGUGUCUGAUGACUCUGUCCUCUCCUCAGAUAGUUCAAGUUUUUGUAGCACAUGCAGUGAAGAGUUUACGUAUGGAAGCUACACUUCUGCAACAAUUAAAUCAUUUAAGAGAGAGCCCUGUACAUUUGCAGUUGACAUAUCAGUAAGGAGACCAACUACACCAUUAAAGCCAUCUGCCCAUGUGGAAAAAGCAGUUGUGGGAGAAACAUGUCACAUGACAGGACAAUCUGUAACAAAUGAACCAAAACAUAAUGAAACAAGCAUGGCAUAUACAUACCCUGACCCCAGAAGUUGUAAAUCUGAUAGUCAUCCUCUAGCAUCACCUGAAACAGGCACAAAAAAAUCAAAGGAUGCUACCACUGAAACAGAUGGUUUAGAGAAUCCAUCGCUUUCCGAUCAAAAAGCAAAAGCCAUGAAUGAAAUGAAGAGUUUAAAGAAUGUUUUUGUUAACUUUAAGUGUCACUUAAAAGGAGAAACUGAAUUGAUUUUGGAAAGCAUUUUUCAAGAAAUAAUGUCUGAUUUAACACAUGCCAUUCCCUCUAUUUCUUCUGUUACUGCUGAAGUUUUUAUUGACCAAAGUGAGCCUGUAAGAGGAGACUUGGUUUCCAGUGCUGAUAUCUGCUCAGUAGCUUCAGAAAUUGUGGAAAAUAUGCUUGAGAAGCUACAGUCUGCAGUUGAGAAAAAAUGUGUCCAGAUAUAUUCACAAGAAGAUUUAUCAGUCAAAAUUCAACCAAGCCUAACACCCAGUGGAGAAUCUCUCACUCUAUCAUACAGAAAACCUUUAAUAGCUUCAGUGCCUUCUACUGCAGAAUCCAUGUGUGAUGUUGCAGAGGAUAUGGUGCAUGCCAUUUUAGAAAAGCUGAUGACUCUUACGGCUCAUAAGCAAAGUGAACUUCCUCAUCUUCAAGAGGCAACUAAACUUUCCUAUCAGCAACAUAUGACAGACCCAACAUGUAUGCGCCAUAUAAAUGCCAACAAAAAGAAAUGUAAUCCUGAACUUGAUGCAGCUAAUUUAAUUGUUAAAGAAAAGAUACAAAAUUUAAUGUCAAAUAUUCUUUCCCAGUCCUCUUUGGUUGGCUAUAUAGAGGAAGCAAUCAGCACUAUACUAGGAUAUGUACAAACUGAACUUAAUAAUGAGAGACUUAUUGCAUCUGAAGAAACAGUAGUACUCCUUAAGUUGCUCGAUGAUAUCUUUACUCAGCUACAUCAGGAACCAGUAAAGGCAGGUAAUCAAAAAUGUAGACAUUCUAGACUGGUAAGUCCUUCUGACACUGAAGUAAAGUACAGACUCACUGGCACUAGAUUACCUAAUGGCCGUAGGUCUGGAAGACCAUUUCCACCUAUUAAUGUUCCUGGCAUGGUCCUUUAUUCUGAAGAUGAUAAUGAAGAAGUAGACAGAAUUGUGGAAAAUGUGCUUGAUUCAUCUUUCAAAGAUGAAAAAGCAAAAUCACAAGAACAAAUUCCUGAGCAUUGGUUUACAAAAGGAAACGCUUGUCUAGAAUACCAAAGAAAUAGCAAACUACCUGCAAAGCCUGUUUCUCCAAGAAGCAAAGCUACAUUUCAUAGUCGCAGGUUAAGGACUGAGCUACCAUAUUUGAAGGAUAGAAAAAUUUUGAAGGAAAAACCCUGUUUGCAUAAAGACAUUUUAUUUUUCAGCCAAGAUCAAAAGCAUCAAAUACAAAAGGUUUCGGAAAACACAGUUAAAAGUAUUUUAACAGAAAUGCUCAAGGACAUAUCUUCUGUUCCUCCUGGUCACUUAGAAAGUAGAACUGACAAAGCUUCAGUUCUCGUUUCAGAAAAACCUCAAGAACCAUCACAUCAAGAAUGGAUGGACCAGCUGUUUUCUGUGUCAGAAAUUAGUACAGUAGCUCAGGAAAUAACAGACACUAUACUAAACAUACUGCAAAAGGCAAGCUGCAUUCCCAAUACCACCAAAAGUUCCAUUUCAUCAUCAGUUCAUCCAGCUUCUCAAGAGAGUCCUGACACUCUCCACAUGGCCAAAGCAGCACCAAAUAAAAAGCCAUUAAAAAUAUGGUUCGACAGUGAAAAAAAAAUGAAAUAUUUAUCUUCACUCGAUGGAGAUCUGGCAAAACCUACCCCGUUAAAAUCUGAAGAGAGUGAACCAAAACCUGCAGAUGAAAUUACUGAUAAGAUCAUUAAUGCAGUUUUUAAAAAGCUGAAGUUAUUUAUUUGUCCAAAACUGCAAAUGGGCUUCAAGCCUUCACUUGCAGAGAAAUCUUCAUUACAAUCUCAACUUAGUACUUACACAGCUAAAGUGGUAAAUAUCGUUUUGCUUGCUAUCCAGAAUGAACUAGAACUCAGUGAGAAAAACCUAAAUCUUAGGGAAGAAAAUUAUAUCAAAUCCCACACAGGUAAAGGAUGUUUUACUGACACUAAGAAAUUAGAAUCUCUUGUCUCAAAUCUCAAUGAUGACAUCAUGGAAUCACCAUUAUUAACUUGUAUUUGUGAAAUAUUAUCCAGUGGACAUUCAGAUCAAAGCAAUAUUUCACUCUCUUCAGAUAACUCAAAGCCAACAACUUUAUCUGAUAAUGUUGAUAAAGGGAACAUUUUGCCAAGCAGACAGGAUAAAGCAUCUUUUUACAAAAUUUUAGCUGCUCCAUGUGCUCUCCAUAGUGUCACUAAUGGAAAAGAUCUCAAAGAGAAUUCCAGAUUACAAGUGUUAGAUAAUAUUGGGGAAACACUCUAUGAAAUGUUAUGCAAGCUCAUAGGGGCCCACCCUCACUGUCAACCAUCUUGUUCUAAGCUAAGCAGAGAGAAAACAAACAAGAAUCAGCAAAGAGCCACUGAAUUGCAGUCUAAUAUUCAGCUCAUUUCCACAACAAUUUUGGAAUAUAUCAUUGCAAAAUUAUGUAGUGUCAACACAGAUACCAGUUCAGUAAGUUCUGGAUGUAAAGCUAUCUCAGAGUCUCUCGAUAUUGACAACCUAUCAUUUACUUCAAUUAUUGAGGAAAUGGCCAAAUGCACUGACAUAAUCUCCAGCAUAGUUUCCAGGAUAGUUGAAGAGGGUGAUAAAGAGAUGACUAAAAGCAUGGGAAAACCUUUUGCUCCCAAGUCUUCCAAAACAGGGAGCGCAAAAGAAAUGCAUUCAAAUAAGCUAAAAGCGGUAGCUUCAGAUAUUCUUAAUAUGGUUUUUGCUAAACUGGAAGGGUUUGCCAAUGGAAAUUUAGAAACUCUGGAUUCUACUAAUGAUGAAAAUAAAAAAAGCAGUAAGAUGAACAUGGAAUGUGAAAGCUUCAGUGUUUUCACAGACACACAUGAAGAACUAUUGCAGUCAGCUUUAUACACAAAUGCAAAGAAAGUAUCAAGUGCUAUUUUGAAAGCUAUUCAAACAGAAUUAAAUAUGAACUCGUUAGAUUUGAGGACAAGUGUGAAAACACCACCACCUGAGAAAAAAAUGCUAGAGAAUAUAGUCAGUUUAAUCUUAGAUGCAGUAUCCUCAGAUAUGCUUAAUGAAACUGAAUCUGAAGAGAGAGACGGUGAAACUUAUGGAUACAGGCCAAUCUAUGGAAAUUUUCUUCCGGGUGGAGCUGAAUCAGAUUCAUUUCCAGAAGAUGCUACAAACACAGAGAAAGAAUUCAUUGGUGAGAGAAUACCACUAAGAGAAGAAACUCAAUCAGAUUCUCUUCAACAAUGGGUUCUAGAAAGAACCUUAAACAAACUUGAAGUAAAGCUCAAAGAACCACAGAAAUCACCAAUUGUUCCCAUUAUAAGAAAUAUUUUGAAUGAGAUCUUUCAAAAUGCUUUGGUCAGCCAAUUAAAUAUGCUUUUUCUCUCCCACUCCCUUUUAAGUGACAUCCCUCACAAUGUUGAUGAGCCAAUUGCUCAAACACCUGUUCCAUUUAUAGAUAAAAUGAUGGUGUCUGAAGCAGAUGUAACCAUGGUGGCCGAUGAUGUUGUUACAACUGUAUUUGAUAAACUUUAUACAGCUGCUAAGACAGAGACAAUUGCAAGUGAAAAUAGCUAUAAAACCAUCACCUUCUCAGCAAAUGUUUCUUUCCAUGAACACACCUAUGGAAGAGGAAAACCUUCCAUCACUGCACUGAACAAGAAUCCGUAUACUCUUCAGUCCAGAUUCAAUAUUGACAGACAGGCUAAAGGAAACAUAGUUGAAGAUAUUGUGCAGGCAAUAUUAACAAGUUUAGAAACUUUUGUGACUUCCAAAGUACAGUCUCUUUUUUGUCCCCAAAUCAACUUCACAGUUCCAAUGGCUUCACCUGUUCAACAAGGUGAGAGUACGUUAAGCAAAGCUUUGUCAGCCAAAGAUUUGUAUUCUGAGGGUCAGUUUUCCUCUUGCUCAGUGGAUAAUGUUAUGUCACAGAACACCAACUCAUUUUGUCAGGUCUCUUUGAACAAAUUAAAUAUAUAUGCAACAGAAGUGGCCAGAAAAAUUUUAAAAGGAAUAAAAAAUGAAUUAGAUAAAGAGAAGGAAACUCAUUUCUUAACUAAUAACAUUGUGGUUUCUGAAAGUAUUACAAGUCAAAUUGUUAACACAGUGUUCGAUAUUGUAUCAUCCAAAGGAAAAUGUGACAAGAACAGUUCUGACAAGGAGACCAGUUCAGAUCAGCAAGAAGGUAUUAUUGAAAAGCUGUUUAAGAAGAUUCAGUAUCGAAAAGUACUUCAGUUUCAAAUACAAGACACCAUUGAAAGUGUCUUAUGUGAUAUUUAUGAAAAAACACUCAACCAGAAUGAUCUCUCAUUUGCCACACCCACUUUGAAACGUAGCAUAGCUGGCAAACAUUCCAGAGCAAAUUCUGACACUGAGGGUGUAAAUAAAAUUCUUCCAAAGUUUUCAGUUCCUAAAUCAGAUGUUAUUUUGAUAUCCAAUGAUAUAGUAGAUGUUGUACUUCAUAAUCUCAGUUCUGUUGUCAUGCUUACCAUAAAUGCAAAGGAUCCUGCUUCUACUAGAUUGCCUCUGACCUUUCGUGAUACGUUUCCAAAAGCACAGUGUCAACAGUCUCUUCUUAUGGAGUCAGAAAGUGAGAGAGAAACAGAGCAUUUUCCAUCUUCAAAAAUUCUUAAACCAGCUUAUGCUAAUGAUAGGCAGAUAACUAUAGUAGAGAAAGAAGACCCCAAGAAAUCUGUUCCUGACCCAUGUGAGGAAAGUGCUAACUUCAUUACUCAAAGUAUUUUUAAUUGGUUAGAAUCAUUUGCCACAGAAAGAAUAGAUUCAUUUAUUAUGCUUGCUUUCCAGCCUAAAGAAAAGUCAUUUGUGAGACCAGAACUGGAAAACUGUAAGCAAGAUGGCAUCAUCUUUCAUGAACCAAGCCAGGUGGAAUCAAAUGUGAAUAUUCUGAAAAUAUCAAAUGAAACUAUUCUCAGCCAAGAGCUCACGGAUUCCACUUUUGCCAGUUACAGAGAAAAACUUGGAUCUACAAUUCAUCUAUCACAAGCUAGUCUUAAGGAAUAUUCUGACAUCAUUGCCAGUGCCAUUUUGAAUUUUAUUAAAAAUGACUUAGACCUUGAAAUCCAAAAGAUGCAUCCAUAUCCAAACAGUGUUUCAUUCCAAGAAAUUACCAUUGUAAGUGAAAUUGUCAAUGGUAUCUUAAAGAGUUUACAUAAUAAAAGAUCUGCAAAGGAAAUCAGUUUUUCCUCAAAAGACAAUCCUAAUUUAUUUUCACAAUUAACCAUAUCAAAUGAAAUAUCACUGGGACAAAGAGCUCAGGAAAAAAACACCAAACUGUCCCUGUUUUCAAAGUAUCCAUUAGAACAAAACCAAAUGGCAUUGGAAAGGGAAAGCCAAAGAAUUGUUUUAGAAGAAAUAUUUAUGAGAAAUGAAAAAUCAAAACAGAAAGAAAGAACUGCAUUAUUCAGUGCAGUGGAAGAAGUUUUAAGUAAAGUGUAUCAAAAAAUAAUAGAAAUCAUAGGCCAUUUGCCUUCCUUUAAUGAAAAACCCCACUCUAAAACAUCAGACAUAAUACAAAAAAACUUCUGUCAAUCACAUAUCAACAGUGCAGCAAGUGACAUAAUUGAAAAUGUUUUGGGGAAAAUGUACUCUGUAAUCGUGACAUCAUUAUAUGAAAAUAACGAAGGAGAACCAGCUGACAAAAAUAUUUUACCAAAGAAAUCACCAUGCAUCAGAGAAACUAAAGCAGGAAUAGGAAGUAGUGUCACUAGAUUUGUGCUGCCACAGGUUUAUCCUUAUGCAGACAGUCGAAAUAGCUCUCUAUUGGAAAACACUUUUUUACGAUAUUCACCAUCACAAGUGGGGAAAGAUUUAAUCCACAUGGUCCUCAAAAAGAUCACAAAUUUUGCCUCAUUUUAUCUUGAAGAAACUGUGUCCCAUGAAAGUUGUUCUGAUGAGUUGCAACCUUUAAGACUACACAGUUCUAAAGUGAGCCCUAAGCCAAGUGUUAAAACAAGUUUAAAAGCAAAAUCAAAAGUUACUCCUUUGCCUAAAUUUAGAACAAAACCACACAUAGGACUUAGUCGUGCUAAGGCCAAGAGCAGGACCAAAUUAAGUCCUGGAGAAAAGACCCUGAAAGACAUCUGGUCCGAGACUGAUAUUGGGCUGCCACACAUCCUAUCAACAGGAGAUGCCAAAAGCUUACUGGAAAUGAAACUGCCUACUUCGGAACUAAAAAUGUAUGCCAAGGAUAUAAUAAGUAAUAUCCUGAAAACAAUUGUUAAAGAAUUGGAAAAGGAGACACGAGCUAGAGCAAUGGUAAGCAAUAGAGCUUUACUAUCUGAUCAAAUCGUAUCAGCAAAUCAAAUAGUUAAUACAGUUUUGCAAGGAUUAUAUGCAAUCAAUAACCACAGUUCAGCUAAUCCUAUCAAAUUCUUACAUCUGGAUGAUCCCAAACUUUCACAGGGAAAUAUAGGUGCAGAGUUUCUCGCCAAACCACAAGCCUGUUUUUACUUGGAAAAUGUUUCUUCACAGUUAGAACAGAUUUUUCCUAAAGAAGGUAUAUUUAAAAAAAUGUUUGACAAAUGGCAAGCAGAAUCAAAUGACAUGGAAAAUGAAAAAUGUAAGCUCUUAAUGAUAGCUGAAAAUGAUUUGACUGAAAUUUCAAUAAAAGCAAAAGAAUUAGAAUAUUCUCUUUCGCUUUUAAAUCUGCCACAUCUUGAGGACUGUGAAAACCGGUUUCAUAGUUGUUUUAAGGGAGCUUCUACUAGAGCUGAAGACACCAAAGCGCAAAUUAAUAUAUUUGGAAGGGAAAUUGUUGAAAUGCUGUUUGAAAAAUUACAGCUGUGCUUUUUGUCCCAGAUGACCACCCCAUAUGGUAAAGAAACUCCAGCAAUUAGGAAAGAACACAUUACUACUAAAAGUAAAUAUGGUUUUCCAACCAAGGACAUCCUCAGCAAUGUACCAGUAUGUAACACUAAAACCAAAGACCAAAGCACUUUGGGCUCUAGCAACCAAAUUGUUCGAGAAAUUGUCGAACGGGUUUUAAACAUGUUAGAGUCAUUUGUGGACUUACAGUUUAAACAUAUCUCUAAAUAUGAGUUUUCUGAAAUAGUGAAAAUGCCUGUAGAAAAUCUUUUUCCUGUCCAACAAAGACUAUUAAGCAAAAAGAUAUUGCCAAAGUUACAACCACUGAAAAAAUUUUCUGAUGAAUCCAAGUCAAGUACUAUUGUUUCCAAGGAAAAUGUACAGAAUACUCUUCUUCAGGUUCAUUCAUUCCAUUCAGAAUUACUUACAUAUGCUGUUAAUAUUGUCCACAACAUGCUUGGUGUAAUUAAGAACAAGCUAGACCAAGAAAUAAGCCAAGUGGAACCAUCUUCUGUCAGCAUAUUGAAAGAGAACACUGCAGCAAGUGAUAUCAUUGGUACACUGAUGUACCAGUGUGCUCAUUUCAGUGAGUCUCUAAUCAAAAACCUUCCCAAGGAAAAUUUCUUCCAAGGAGUAGAAAAUACUUACAUUGUUAACCAGGUUGAAUUAGCAACAAAUACGAAAAUGCCCAUGUUAAAAUUAAAGGAAGUAAGUUUUGGGAAUAAUCUUCCACAAAGCAGUGUUCCAGGUUUGGAUUUUUAUUCAGAGGAAAAUAUGAAAAAAAGGUAUAAGUCUUCAUCAAAUUUACCUUCAUAUUCCAGAGCCUCUGUAGAAGACACAGUUAGAAACUCAGAGCCAAUGAAAAGGCCUGAUUCAGAAAACAGACCUUCAUCUUCUAGAAACAAAGUGCAAGACACUAUCCCAAAGGAAUCUGACUUGGGUUAUUUUGAUCAAGCUAUGAAAGGAAGUAGCUCCCUCCCUGAAGGGAGUGUCUUACAAAAACUGUUAAAGAAAGCAAAUGAAUCCACAGAAACAGCAUUAAAGCAAGUAAUGUCAUUUAUAGAAUUGAGACAAGGUGAAAAUCCAAGAGUGUUUCAUUACGAGAUCUCCAAACCAGUUGUUGAGCCUGACCAAAUUCAGACAAGUGUUUCUCCACUCAAAAUUUGUUUAGCCGCAGAAAAUAUUGUCAGUACUGUGCUGUCAAGCUAUGGAUUUCCAAAUCAACCACACAUUAACGAAAGCAUGGAAACAAUGAAACCAUUUUUCAUAUCAAAGCAAGACCCUUUGUCUAAAACAUCUGGAGGACAAAAGAAUGAGGAGAAAAGUCUGCUUAGAAUGUGGGAUAAAAAAAUCAGCUCUAUACUUGAAGAAGAAAACAAAGCUGAGGUCAGAAGGGAAGAUUUUUCUUUAUUGCAAAAAUGGGAAAAUAAGAGUUACCUGAAAAUAAAGACUCUGAAGAAAGUUGAAGUCAUUGCUUUUGCUGACCAUGAACUAGGUCCAAAUGAAAUUCAUCUGGUAUCCAGGCAUGUCACCACAUCUGUGGUCACAUAUUUCAAGAACUUUGAAACUAGAGUUUCCAGUGAGAAGGUAUCUAUUGUUUCCACACUGUCAAGGAGAAAAUAUGAAUCAAAAUCGCCUCUAAGAAGCAUAUAUAGUGAUUCUUCACUUCAUCAACUUUGUGAACAUCUCACUGAGUCUGUCAUUUGCCAUUUAAUGUCAAGCAUUUCUGGUAGCACCACAGAUAUUAGAGAAAAAGAGAAAACAUCGGAAAGACAAAAUGCUGCAUUUAACACUAUUAUUUCAAUUGAUUCUCAAGUGUUUGAGAGUAGGUCAAUUUCUGUUGGAGAACUUGCUCUAAGUAUCUCUGAAAUCAUCACUGAAAUCCUUUUAAAUAGUGACAUCAUAGAGACCGACAUUGCACAGCAAAUGUUUUCGUUAACAAGAAAGUACACUUACUGCCCAGGAGUAGGUGCUGCUGACUUUGAUGAUCUCUUUCAGGACCUCUUAAUAGGUGUGAUUCAGGUACUGUCCAAAGAAAUAGGGUUAAAUCAUCACCUUGAAAACAGCGGAAGAAACAGACCAUUUCCCAUGCUCAGAAGUAACAGUGUGCCCAUUUGCAACAGAAGAAAUACCAUGCAAAGACAGAAAGGUUCCAGAGACUGGGGAUUAGCUACUCACCAAAUUGAUCGUAUCAUUCAAAAAAAUAAAUUAAAUUAUUUAGCACACAAGUUAGAUAGUCUGGCUGGUAGCCUAAAAACUCAUGAAUCCAAAGAAAUAGUCAACAGAGUUUUCAGUAUUGUUUUAGAUUUAUUUUUACCAGAUGAACAGCCAGAUGAGGCUAUGGAUUCUGAAAUAAAAGCAAGAACAUUUUUCUCAUCAUCAUAUGAAGAGCAAUGUAAUAACAUACUUGGAAAUAACUUAGGGCUCUCCCCUAAAUCAGUUUUCCUUCUCAAUGUUGUAUGUGAGAAAUUAAUCAGAACACUUUUAGAGAAAUGCACAAAGUCUGUCUUUCUUGAUAAUUGCCCUCUUUCUGAAGAGGUAUCAGCAGAAGAAUGUCAACUUUUAAAAGUACUUCAAAGUGUAGAUGAAGAAUUUGACUCUUGUAACGGAGCAAUGGACUUUGAACAAUUUCAAGGGGAUUAUAUGUCAGACAUUUUGGAAAAUCUGGCAGAAACGGAUCCGGAUUUAUUGUCAUCAGACUCUAUGCUUACUAUUAUUUCCCACAGCUUGGUUAAAUCAUUGAUGGAUAAACUACAUCACAGUAUACAAUUCCCCCAAAGUCCACCUUUUGCAAACAAGUAUUUGAAGUAUGGAACAAGAGGAAUACAGUCUAGUUUUAUAAAAGCAAAAAGGCCAGAAUUAACAGAAUUGGAAAAAGGUAGAGGCGCUUUAGGAUACAUGAGUUAUUAUGGCCAUGAUUUGACAGGGCCCCUGAAUAAUCCCAGUGUAGUUAGCUCCAAAAUACAAGCACCGUUUGGCAAGAAAUAUUCAGUAAAUUUUGCUAAUGUGCCACCUCUUAAAAGACAGAGAACAAAGGAUACAAAUACAAUAGCCAUCCAUAAUAAGCUGUAUCUAGGAGAUAUGAAUACAGGUGUUUAUUCAGCCACAUUUUUAGAGGACAUAAUUUCAGAACUGUUUUUUAAUCUCUCUAUUUCACUGCUGGGCAAAAAUGAAAACAUCAUCGGUGCCCAGCUCAAUGAAAUGAAUACAUUAUUUGUCAACAGUGUAGUGAAUGAGUUUAAUAAGGCAAGGGUCACUGUUUUACGGAAUUCUGAAGAAAGGCUGUGUUUUCCACCAGUCCAUAAAGAAACUGUUAGUAGGAUUGUUGACUCAGUUUAUUAUGGUGUUUUACAGCAAUAUAAAUCAAAAGUGAUCUGUGGUGGUAAUCUGGCAUGUGACAGUACUUCAAUAGCAGAACAAAUAACUAAUAGCAUAUUGUUAGAGACUUUGCACUACCAACUCCCAUCUUGCUUCAGGGAAAAGCUCUUACACAAUUCAUAUUACCCUCUCAAUGCUGAAAUUAUAUUACAGAAACUUCAAAAUAACCUGAGGGAAUUUACUUCCAAACCUAGGUCUUUAACAGACUAUAGCACCAUGUUAUCACAAUCAUUUUUAGAAGAUAUCAUCAGAAGACUUUUAUCUCAACUCAUUCCUCCACCCAGUAAAGCUUCCUCUUUGGAAAACAAAUAUUUCAUGAGUUCAGAUUUUAAUGAAAUGUCUACCUGUAUAAUAAAUAAGGUUAUAUCAGCCAUUUCAAAACACAAAAUUUGGUUCACUAUAUAUGAUAAUCAAUAUCUGUGUACCAGAAAAAGCCUCCAGAAGAUGGUGGAUUCUGUUUACAGAAAUAUUAUGCAAACCUAUGACUCUCUUAUUUCAAUACAGAAAAGUAUACUCAGCCGAAACCCAAUUUUGGUUGACCGAAUAGCCAGUUUUAUUAUCCAAGAGAUUAUUGAAUAUCACCUUCAGCCAUUUUUGUGUGGAGAAGGUUUACCUCGUCCAAAGACUCCUUCAGAUGCAAUAUCAAAUAUGGUUAAACAAGUUCUCAACGAAGUCAUAGAGUCACACAGACCCCAGACACCAUCAGCCCCAGGUAUUUACUCUGAGACAUUUGUAAGGGAAAUUGUUGCCAGACUUUUAUCAAAAAUUUUCAGUCCAAAGCAUAACACUGAAAUUGAGCUGGAAAACAUGACCCAAAAAAUUGUAAACUCAGUAAAUAACCAUUUUGACAAAGCUAAAGUUCACCUUCUAUGUAAUGACAAAGAACAAUCUUACCCCUCUGUGGAUACAGAUAUUGUGGACGAACUGGUCACCUCAGUUUAUAGAAAUGCUUUAAAACAGUAUGGAUUAGAUCCUGAGUUUGAUAAAGAGUCUGAAGACAGCAGUAUUUUUGUGGAAAAAAUUACCAACUUAGUUGUAGCAGCUAUUUCAGAUUACCUACUUCAUCCACUGUUUUCUGGAAAUUUGUCAUCUUCAUAUCCUCUUUCAACAACUGACAAUCUUGUUCAAGACAUUCUUAGUAACAUCGGUGGAUCUACCAUACCAAGUCAGAGUUUAUCUCCAUAUAACACCUUCCUGCCAUACACAUUUUUAGAAGACAUGAUCAGAGUACUCUUAUCUAGAAUUUUUCCCUCUGCACAUAGCAUUGCUGCAAACAGAGAAAUUCCAAAAGAUAGAUCAAAAACUAAUUUCAAUGAAAUUGCUUCAGAUAUAAUCAGUGAUAUUAGAAGGAAAAUUUCCCAACAUGAAAUUCGAUUCUCAAAAGAUGAAGAAGGAACCAAAUUUCUUUAUUCAGAAGAUGAUAUCCACCAUCUCGUGGACUCAGUAUUCAAAAAUAUUUUAAACUCUGAGUCUCAAGAAUUAGUUGAGCCAAGUAUCACAAGUAGUAGUGAUGUUCUUAUUGACAAGAUAGCAGGUUUUAUCAUUAAACAUGUCUGUCAACAACAUCUUCAGCCAUUUGUGGAUGGAAAGUCAUUACCUUCUUCAUCAUACACAUAUUUGGACGAUGAGAGAAGGCAGUGGUUUCAUGCCAGUGUUUAUUCCUCAGAAUUUUUGGAGGAUGUGAUUUCUGGAGUUUUAAGCAAAAUAUUCCACAGAGGGUUAGGCAUUGUACAAACAAAAUCAGUAAGAGAUUCAGAAGAUGAACUAUGUGAUAAAGCUGAAAAACUCAUACAUUUCAUAACAGAGGAAUUCUCAAGAGCUAAAGUUAGCAUUUUAGAGAAUGCAGAGAAAAUUUUAUAUUUGCCUCCAGUAAAGAGAGAUGUAGUCAAAAACAUUAUUGACAUGGUGUAUAGCAAAGUUGUGCAAGAAUAUGAAAUGGAAAUAAUGCCUGACAAAAAUUUUCUAAAUGACACAAAGGCACUGGCUACAAAGAUAACUGAAAUCAUCCUGGCCGAAACCUCUGAUUUCCAAAUUCAUCCGAAUCUUACAGAAAAGCUUCCAUUUGGGUCACAAUCCAAACUUAGUAGUGAUAUUUUGAUAAAGAAAGUUCACCGUGACAUUACUAAAUCAAGAUCCCAAAGACAGGCUUCGACAAUAUAUACUACUAUGUUAUCACAUACUCAUUUGGAAAAAAUUGUGUCUCAGCUUAUAUCUCAGAUGAGUCCAUUGGCCUCCAGUACAGAACACCAAGAUACUUCUCAAUCAGACUUAAGUAAUACAGUUAUAAAACUGAUAAAUGAAAUCAUGUCAAUAAUUUCAAAACAUGCAGUAUGUAUUAUUAAACAUGGGAACGAAAAACAUAGUAUUAUUUCAGAAAAAGAUAUCCAAUCCAUGGUUGAUUCCAUUUAUGCUGCUCUUUCCUAUUCAAGUAUAUACCAAUCGCUUACAAAAGAUAAAAAAGAUAUAAGUAAUAUACCUGUUACAAAAAUAGCAAGUUUUAUAAUAAAAGAAAUCUUUAACCAUCAUCUUCAGUCAUUUUCGUCUGCAGAUAAAACUAUCCUUUCAGCUGCAGUUGAUCAAACUUAUAAACAGAAAACAUUAGAUCCUAAAGAAAAAGAGUUGUCCUUCAUCAUGAAUUCAGCUGUCUUUUUGGAAGAAGUAAUUUCUGAACUUUUAUGUAAACUCCUUUAUGCAUUCUCACACAAUGUUUUGGCUGCUGAAAACCCAGAUAUAGUGAAAGCCAAAGUUACUGGCAUUGUUACAACAUUAGUAAAAUCCAUUGUUCUGGAGUUCACCACAUCAGAGAUUUUUCUUGCAGAUAGCUUUGAUGCUGAUAUGUGUUUUUCAGAAGGAUAUAAAGAAAUGGUUAAAAGAACAGUCAACCUUACUUAUGAAAAAAUAUUAGAUGAAUAUAAAUCUCUGAUUCAAAUAUAUAGGGCUAUGCAAAGUGACACUGCUUGUUUUGGAAGAAAAAUAUAUAAUUUCCUUUUGGAAGAAAUUUAUGACUACCAGGUAAAGUCAUUAGUUUCAGGAGAAUUAAUAUCUUCUUCCUAUUCUUCUCCUCAAGCUGAUAAAAUCAUCGGAAAUGUACUCAAUGUCAUCACGAGAGAUAGCCAUGCCUUGCCGCCAUGUAUUACUGUGUUGCCACAUUCUCUUUUAGAAGAUAUGAUUUACAAGCUUCUAGUGCAUAUCUUCCCUUCAACUGACACUGAAAGUGAACUAAAAGAGGGAGAGGUUUCAGAUUAUGAGUUCAUGGAUGCAGCAUCAAAACUAACUGAUGAAAUCAUCAAAGAAAUCUCUGAACAUGAGAUCUGUCUUGCUACAGCAGAGGAGAAUACAGAAAGUGUGCAAUUGGAAGUGAUUGAAGAUUUGAUUAACUCUAUAUGUAAUAAUAUUUUGAAAAAAUCUGAAUUUCAAGCUGAAGUCCAGAAAGAUGCAAAUAAAAAUGGAGGCUCAUUCCUCAGUAAAAUAGCUGGUUUCAUUAUGAAGGAAAUUAUGGAUCAUCAUCUGCAGCCAUUUUUACGUGGUGAAGAAUCAUCCUCCAAUAGCUUAUCUAAUUAUGACCAUGUCUCUGUACAUACUAUACCUGGUAAAGAAAAGACACAGCCUUCUCUAUAUUCAGCUACAUUUUUGGAAGAUGUAAUUGUUGACCUUGUUCGCAAAUUUUGUUCUCUUCCAAGUAAUACUGAAGAGAUUAAGAAAAAAGAAAAAUCAGAGCCAGAUGUUGUGAGCUUAGCUAUAAAAUUUGCAAACUCUCUGAUAGGAGAAUUUAGGAAAAGUGAAAUUAAAGUUCUACCAAAUGCUGAAGAAAUGCUUUCUUUUCCCCCAGUUGAUAAAGAGACAGUUGAUAAGAUAUCCGAUUUUGUGUAUGAUCAGUUCAUAGGAACCUAUGAAUCUAAUGAUAUUCAGAAGAAUGGUAAAAAUAACAUUGUUAUAGAAAUGAUUGCUACUUUAACCCAGAAGGCAAUCUCUGCUUUCAAGAUCCAACCACUUUUUUCAGGAGACUGGUCUUCUACUUUCUUUUCAUUUCUAAAACCAGAUAACAUCACUCAAAGGGUUAAACACCUUCCACAGCAAACAUCUACACAGAUAAACAGAUGCUUAAAAGAGAAUCAACUUACUUUACCAGAAGAGUCAUAUAAACACACGUCUCUAACUUCAGACCAGAAAAAUGUGUUGGAUACUUUGGAAGUAGAUAGAGGUGCAAUGAGCAAAAAGAAAAGUUUGGAAACUAAGGAGACAUCAAUGAAAAUAGGUGAUAUCCAAGACCCAGUGGUUACCUCUGUAACUAGUAUUAUGAAAAGCAAUGUAGUUAACCUGUUAUCAGGACCAGCUGCAGGUGUGGCAAAUAAAGAGAAUAAAAGCAAAAUGGGAAUUCCAGUUCAAAAAUACAAUGGAUCAAAAGUUACUUGUCCAACUACUAGUGUGAAAACUAAAGAAAAACAGGAGCCAUAUUUGAAGGGAACACUCAAAAAUAAUGAAACUGACAAGAAAAGAAUAUCAGCUUCAGAUAAGGAGGGGCGAGGUAAGGAGGUACACACACAAUUUCUAGUAGCUACUGAUGGUGAAAGGGGAAUCUUUCAACUAGAUUUUAAAAUAGACAAUGAGAAGAAGGUUGACGAAACAAAAGAAAGUUCAUUAAAAACAGGAGACAACUCCCUCCAGUUACCUUCUUUGAUAGCCAAAGUGAGAAAUACAGAGAACACAAUCGAGAAACCUUCAGAAGCAGUUACUCAGAAGCCAAACGAUGAGGACAGGAAAGACUCUUCAGCUCAAAUAAACAUACAGGAAGGACAGUACUCAGAUUAUGAAUUAGUCGAAAAUGUCACUAAAAAUAUUUAUGAAAAUAUCUUUGGAAUGUACCAUUCUCAAGAAUCAGCUGAUUAUUUAAAACAACAAAGUCUUCCAAGUCAUACAGCAUCACCUCUAACUCAAGCAUUGCCUGUAACUCAAGAGAUUGGCAAGGAUUUUGCACAGUCUGUUUUAACAAAGGAUUUACCCCUCUCAGCCAACAAAAAUCUCCCUGCCAAAGAGGAAGAAGAAAAAGAGGAUGCAAGCAAAAUAGAAAAAGAGAGGGAGAAGAAGAGGGGGGGAAGAAGAGAAGAUGACAGCGUGAAAGUUAAGGAUAUUAAAAAGGAACCAAGUAAACCAGACAGUCCCCAGUACCCACCAAAACGUGAACCUGGAGUUUUCCCUGCUAAAUUUUUAGAAGAUGUUAUUACUGAAACGAUUAACAAAUUGGUCUUUUCUUCCUCACCAGAAACACAAACAUAUGAUAGAUGUCAAAAUGUAUGUGAUGAUGAAAAUCAAGCUGAACUCUAUGACACAGCUAUGAGACUUAUUGAUUCUCUGCUAAAGGAGUUUUCUGAUGCUCAAAUUAAGGUAUUUAGGCCAGAUAAAGAAUAUCAGUUUUUUCCACCUGCAGAUAAAGUGUCAUCAGUUCCUAAGGAAUAUCCCAGGCAUAAAGAAUCAAAUAUAAAUGAAGCACCAUGCAACAUUAAGACAAUAACUGUGGAUAAGAGUCAUACAAUGACUGAAAAACCGUCUUCAAAUAAGAUACUUUUUUUAGAUAAAAUGUCAUCAAUUGAUAAAACAUUGGUCAACAAAGUUGUCCAUGCCUCUGUGUGCAAUAUUUUGAAGGAAUAUAAAUCUCAAGACUCCAUUUGUAAGAAUAUAAAGAGUAAUGGGGGACAUUUAGUAAGAAGAUUAACUAGUGCAAUGAUAAAUGAAAUUUUUCAACAUAAGCUUAAUUUGAUAUUGUGUGAUGAGUUUCCAGCUUCGUCAUGUUUGCCUCUGGAAACUAAGGAUGUUGUUAAAAAGGUCCAAAAAUUGGCUCAAACAGCCAACAAAGAAUGUCAGACAUCAUCACCAUAUACCAUCAUACUGCCUCAUGAAUUUUUAGAGAAUGUGAUUUCUACUCUUUUAUCGAAAAUUUUCUCAACCAUAUCAAACAUCAAAACAGAAACAUAUGAGGGCAGCUGGUUUACAGAACUGGAUUUCCUUCAAAUGAAGUUAUUAAGUAUAGUUACAACAGAGAUCUCCAAAGAUGAAAAUAUGAUUAUACAGUAUGUGGAAUCCUUACAUCCCAGUGAUGAUGAAGCUAUUCAAUUAGUGGUUCAAUCACUCUAUGAUAAUCUCUUGUCACAAUUUGGGUCACAAGAGAGUAUACAAAAUUGUGCAGCCAGUGGAUGCAGAAUUCUUUCAGAAACCAUAGUUGACUUAAUUCGACGAGAAGUGACUGGCAAUCAGUUGCAGAACUACUUUUCUGGAGAGCUAACACCAUAUCAGUGUGCAGAAGUUGACAAUGUUGUUGAAAAUAUUCUUAAAGAUGUAAUCCAAACGGCUGACAUUCCCCAGCCUCAUCCAUCACAGGCGUGUAUUCUGCCUUAUAACAUAAUAGAAGAAAUUGCUGUAAAAUUUUUAUUGAAGCUUUUAUCUGUGUUUCCAAAGGUCGAUAAGGAAAGACCCAAAUCCCUAGAAACUGAAAUGCAAAAAAUAACAUCAAAAAUAUUAAAUUCAAUACAAGAAGUUAUCUCCAAAAAUAAGAUUAAAGUAGUAUCACCAGCAAAGGAAAUACCUACUGCACUUUUAGCUAACAAUGAAGCUAUUGAAAAAGUAGUUAAUUCUGUUUAUACCAGUAUUUUAAAACACUCUGGCUCACUCACUUCUAUAUUUAAAGACUUAAUGGGUACGAGUAAUAUCCUCUCUGAUAUAAUAGGGUUUUUAAUGGUGAAAGAAAUUUCCAAAUCUAAAUUUCAACCUCAAAUACAGGAAGAAUUAUCAGGUCCAGAAUUAGCUCUGGAAGCUGUUAAAAUUAUGGAAAAAGUAGUCAAAAUGGUUGAUAAAUUUAAGUCCCAGGAAAAGUCUUCAUCCAAAAAAGUUUCUAUGUUAGAUGCCAUGUUUUUAGAGGAAGCACUGGCCUUGUUCUUGGCUAAAAUAGUAAGGUUGCCAAGUGAGUCAAGCAAACACGCAAAAAACUUAUCAAAGCCUGAAUUAAAUAAAAUUGCAUCUCAACUGACAAAAUCUGUGACGGCUGAAAUUUCAAAGAGUAAUAUUAAUCUUGUUGCUACUGAUUCUGAAGGAUACUUUCUAAAUCCAGAAAGUAUAGAAAUGGUUUCUCAGGUUAUUGAUUCUAUUUAUAGCAAUGUACUACAACAAUCUGGAAGCCAAAAGGAUCUUUAUCAUGAUAUAAAAAGUACAAACAGAGUUUUCCCUAAAAAAGUGGCUAAUUUAAUUGUUAAUGAAGUUUCCAAUUUUCCCUUCGAUUCAGCUAGUCCAAAGAAUUCAAAUGCUUGUUUCCUUGGAGAUCUAGACAUUAACAGAAUUGUUGAAAAGGCACAAGAGCAUGCUGUUAACAUGAUUCCUGACUUAGAUAAGAAAUCAACUAAAGAUUCAAUUGUAGAGGACUUUGCAAUUAAAAUAAUUCCACAUGUUGGGAAUAAACCCCUCAAAAUAGAUCCAAACAUUAUCUCAGAACACUUAGCAGUAAUUUCUAUAAAAACUCAACCCCUUGAGCAACUUCAGACAGAAUGUUUAAAGAAUACUGGACAUAACAUAGCAGAACUGAGAAGAGCAUCAAUAAGUGGAAGAAGUCGUCCCUCAAACACAUUUACUAUAAGAGAGUUGAAGAGAGAAAGACGGACCUCAUUGAAUAAGAUAGGACGACUAGAUAUAAAACCCUUUGAGGCUGUUUGCAGAAAUUCAUUUCAGAAUAUAAGAAAGCCUGAUAUCACCAAAGUGGAGCUUUUAAAAGAUGUUCAGAACAAAAAAGAACUUAUCCUCCGGAACCUUCACUGA
rnacentral:lncRNA from 1 species